CCAGUUGAUCUCAGAAGAUGGCAUAAUUAGUGAGUGAGGAAAAUCCAAUUCAUUUUAAGUAGUGUCUUGCUUUCUAAUGUUUUUUUUUGUUUGUUUGUUUUGUUGUGUUUUUUUUAUCUCCAUUUGCAGGUUCCUUUGUUGGAGAGCAUGUUGCUGUGACAGUGAUAUCUGUAGAUGAUUUGUGAAGGAGUGCAGAGUCAUGGUCUUACUACUAAAAUCCACUAAAACAUCCCAUUCCCUUCUUCAGUAGUAGACACCUUCUCAUGUCAUGGAACAGAGCCACGAUACUUGGUUAAAAGUGUUAGGAGACAGUCCGGUGCUGCCCUCUGAGAUGGCUUUGAAACCCCAGAAGUCACGUCUGUGUUUGCAUAGGCAUCCAUUGAGAGGUCUGUUUGCUGCUUGUGGUUAAUGGGGCCAAACAGCAGCAGGUGAAAGCACUCUGCGUGGUUCCUCACUGUCUUCAGAUCCUUUUGGCUGAAGGAGAAUUGAUUCCAGCCCAGGUGAACCUGCCAGACAAAUAGCAGAAGGUGAAGUGCAGCGGAAGCAUUGCAUCUUGGAUCCCAGCACAGGGCUGGAGCCUGCUGACAUCCAGAGCAGCGUGAGAAGUCACUGCUUGGGAGCUGGGGGAGGCCAAGGGGAAUGAAUUCAGGAGAGAAAAAAGGUGAAUUCUGCACCGUCAGCUCUGUGUUCUCAAAGUUGUUGCUUUGUUCAUCAUUGCUGAUGGAAAAGAAUCAAGAACCCAAUGCUUAAAAAAAGGGACACCACGCUGUUUUCAGUGUGUUUACACUUGGAUUUGGUGCAUGUAACUGAAUUCCUUAUAUGUGGAUGAUUAGUUUGUGUGUUUCC
rnacentral:lncRNA from 1 species